CAGCAGCCGCGGGAAAACGUAGGGUGCAAGCGUUAAUCGGAAUUACUGGGCGUAAAGCGUGCGCAGGCGGUUAUAUAAGACAGAUGUGAAAUCCCCGGGCUCAACCUGGGAACUGCAUUUGUGACUGUAUAGCUAGAGUACGGCAGAGGGGGAUGGAAUUCCGCGUGUAGCAGUGAAAUGCGUAGAUAUGCGGAGGAACACCGAUGGCGAAGGCAAUCCCCUGGGCCUGUACUGACGCUCAUGCACGAAAGCGUGGGGAGCAAACAGGAUUAGAUACCCCUGUAGUCCCUGUCUCUUAUAA
rnacentral:rRNA from 1 species